CGCGUAGGCGGUCUCUAAAGUCAGAUGUGAAAGCCCGGGGCUUAACCCCGGAAGUGCAUUUGAAACUUAGGGACUUGAGUAUGGGAGAGGGAAGUGGAAUUCCUGGUGUAGCGGUGAAAUGCGUAGAUAUCAGGAGGAACACCAGUGGCGAAGGCGACUUCCUGGACCAAUACUGACGCUGAGGCGCGAAGGUGUGGGGAGCAAACA
rnacentral:rRNA from 1 species